UGAGUGAACAAUCAUUAAGGAACUCGGCAAAUUGACUACCGUAACUUCGGGAUAAGGAGGGCCAUUAUUAUUAGUUUAACAUAUCUUAGGAUAUGAUUUAAUUAAACUAAUUUUAAGAGGAAUCAUGAAAUAAUGUUGUACGACUGUUUAAUAAAAACACAGCACUCUGCAAAGAUUAAAUAUCAAAGUAUUGAGUGUGAUGUCUGCCCAAUGUCGGCAGGGUAACGAAUUUACCUUGGUUUUUAACUAAGGUUUUGAAGGAUACCCCGAUUAAUGGCGGCCUUAUCUAUGAGGGUCCUAAGGUAGCGAAAUACCUUGGCCGUUAAAUGCGGUCCUGCAUGAAUGACUUAACGAUACAACAGCUGUCUCGAUGAUUGUCUCA
rnacentral:rRNA from 2 species